UACGAAGGGGGCUAGCGUUGUUCGGAAUCACUGGGCGUAAAGGGCUCGUAGGCGGCCUGAUAAGUCGGGGGUGAAAGCCUGUGGCUCAACCACAGAAUUGCCUUCGAUACUGUUAGGCUUGAGACCGGAAGAGGUAAGUGGAACUGCGAGUGUAGAGGUGAAAUUCGUAGAUAUUCGGAAGAACACCAGUGGCGAAGGCGACUUACUGGACACAUAUUGACGCUGAGGUGCGAAAGCGUGGGGAGCAAACAGG
rnacentral:rRNA from 1 species